rnacentral:rRNA from 1 species
CAGUCGCCGCGGUAAUACGCAGGGUGCGAGCGUUAAUCGGAUUUACUGGGCGUAAAGCGUGCGCAGGCGGCCCGUUAAGACAGGUGUGAAAUCCCGAGGCUCAACCUCGGAACUGCCUUUGAUACUGGGGAUCUUGAGUCCGGAAGAGGUGAGUGGAACUGCGAGUGUAGAGGUGAAAUUCGUAGAUAUUCGCAAGAACACCGGUGGCGAAGGCGGCUCACUGGUCCGGAACUGACGCUGAGGCACGACAGCGUGGGGAGCAAACAGGAUUAGAGACCCCCGUAGUCCCUGUCUCUUAUAC